GCAGGAGUCUCUCUCCACUCCCCUGAUAAGAUCACCAGUUUGAUCCCCAUAUAGACCAUUCACUUAAGAACUGAACUUAAUGACCCUUGUGGGUCCUUUCCAACUCAGAAGACUCUGUGAUAUCAAAGUUUAUUUUUGUGUUUGUGUCUGAGUGACAGGGGUGAGUUCACCCCUGCUUGGGAGCCACAUGCAGCCAUCACUCAGCAAAGGCAGCAUGGCAUGGUGAACCUGGGUCUGCCUCGUGUCCUUAGCUCUAGAACCAGACCAGAGCCAAGUAACAUCAGGGGAGCAGAUCCACACACACACAUACACACGUGUCCCCAGUAUAACAUGUCCCAGCUUCUGCCAGGGAGCAAGAGCCAAAACUACUCUAGGAAACAGGCAUCAGUGCCAGAGGGAAGUGCUGGCUGGCUUCUUAAGCUCAGUGGGAAAUGUUCUAUCGUUCCCCCAGAGAGCUUCUGUCCUGUUCUCCCAGCUGAAGCUGCCCACUGAGCCCCAUCCAUGCAGUUUGCAAAGCCCCUGUCCCAGCUUGCUGCUUCGAGGGAACAGCCACCCCAAGAGCUCUCACGGUUGCAUGGUCCAGCCAUGGGCUGAGCUUUUUGGAAAGGGUUACUUUGCACUUGACUGUGCCUGCAGAGCUGAAGUGACCUGAGUAUGUGUCAAAGAUGUACAGACCAGUUGUGAGCCUGGGAGAUGUCAGAGCUUGGGAGUCAGGGAGACUGAGCCCAUCCAGAUUUCAUCAUCCAUCUGCCCCUCUGCAGCAAGCUCCAUCAAAUGAGGUUAAAAGUUAGAGCUAAAAGUACUUUUCCAGCCCAGACCACUCUCAGACUGUUUGUGCCUCAUCCCAGCAGCACACUGGGCUAUUUCACUUACCAGCUCUCACCACAGAAAUUCCCACAUGCAGGAUGUGAGAUGAAACCACUGCUUUGAAACUUCCUAUGACCAUAGCUAAAAAUAAGACUCAGAGCAAUAAUUUCCCCACUAUUGGUGCCUCAGACCUGAAAAAGCUAGUCCUGAACGACCCAGUGGUGUCUCAUUUAGCUGGGCAAGCUGUGAUCAUGAUGUCUGCAUCCUGGGAGGGAGGCGAGAACAUGAUUUCUUGGGGAAAAGUCCUCUCCUUCCCAUCCUGUACAAGCCAUCAGCUCAUCUCCCUGUGUACCAAGUGGCAGAGGAAGCUUAAAGCAGAUUGAAAAUUGCACUGAAAAUUACACUGCAUCUCUCCUGCUCGGUUUUAAUUGUAGAGCAAAGAAAGCAGCCCAUCGAUUCAUCCCGCUGGGUAAUUAAAUGCUUAAUGCUAUUGCCUAUAAAGACAUUAUGGUUCAGCAGCCCAACACUAAUGCAUUAAUAAUCGCUUCUAUCAUGGCAAAGAAGGGGCACGAGCUGCUCCUGAGGAACACGAUAUUUACAUGGGAUGGGAGCACACAGUGAAAAACCUCAGGGGCUCAUUAGUGCCUUGACAACCUGCAGGAGUGAGAGCUUGUCCCAGAGAGCAGGGGAACAGGGAAGGGCUACAAGGACCGUGGAGGAGAGGGCAGCCCCUACCCCAGGGAAGUCCCCUUGGCAUGGCAGUGGGAGAGGAGUCUGCGCUCUGAGAAUCAGUGCUGCCCCCAGCACAGCUCUAGGAUGUUGUCAGCCAUGGGAUCAGGAAGAUGAAUCUGAGCAGUACAACCCUUUUAUAACAAGUCAUGGCAAAGGCACAAGAAUGUCUGCCUGCCUCCUGCUGGGCUCUACAUUCCCAAUAAUUAGCUGUCUGCUUUAGCAUAUUUAUUAUGCACAUGAUGUGGAGCACAGGGCAAAGCCUGCACAUUGCCUGGGAUUAAGCACAUAAAAGUGAGCUGAAUGAGCUCUGCUCCAAGCUGGAGAGGCUGAUUUGCUCGCUAGAAGCAGAGUCAACCCUCAGAAUGUGGUGUGCUGGUGGCUACUGCACACUUCCAGAGGGGGGUCUCACCCAGUCAAGGAUGGAGGCUGCACUCCCACCUGCAGGGACCUCAGAGCCCAGCACAUGAAGGAAUCCCAUGUCCCAUAGACAGGGAGGAUACUUAAGGGCCAUUUAGGAAAAAUGGAGGAAGGAAGGACCUGUAUCAUCAUGGGGAGAGCAGCCCUUUCAAGACCAUCCUCUGCUGAGUUCUUUUCCACCUCCCCAGGACUGACGCACUGCCCCUCCAGCCAUGCCACACUGGGUUACCUUACCUGCAGCCACUUCAGGGACAGAGCAGACAUGGCCUAAAAAGCUAUCAGAGGCAAAAUUUCCACCUAAGAUUUCAAAUCCAUGUCAACAACCCCCUGCCCAAGGAUAAGGGGAGCCCACACAGCCUUUCCUCCAGCAUGAAAACCAAAAGCACUUGCAAUUUUCUCUGAACAAAUCCAAGUACAGAUCAUGCUGUCAAACCCUCAUUUGAUAUGUUUUUCUGGUGGCUCUGCACCAUUUGCCUUCAUUACUUUCUCUGCCCUGUGCCAUAGUCCAAUAAUGCAGCAUCUGCCCAAUAAAAGGUCCAUGAAUAUAAUUUACAAGUAGUUGGCACAUUCUGCCUUGUCUGGGAGGGCGGGCUCCCUGAGUACACUGCAGAUUGGAAAAAGUGUGGAUUUUACAGUCAUUCUCAGUGGGGUAAAUAACCUCUGAGCACUGUUUGUAACUUGAUUUAUCUUUGUGAGGCUGCAAUUCUCCCAAACAUUUGAUUCAUGGCUUGAAAUUGAACCUCUUUAAGUAUAUUUCUUUACAGGGUCUUAAAAAAAAAAAAUAAGCCUGGUAAGAAAGAGAAGGGAAGGUGCUUUCUUACAGCCCCAGGGAUGAGGAAGAAGGUGCCUCUGGUGCUUUGGAUACAUCUGAAGGGGAACACUGAGCCAGGGGAGAAGGAGCACUGCUGCUCCCAGUGUUCCACCUGCCCAGGCAAGGCAGCCCUGACCGGGUGAGCUGCUGCAUUUACUCAAGAAAAGCCUUUCUGAGCCUGAGAAUACACACCUAGAUUGGUACAUAUGUGUGUGUAACAGCCUCGGUAAGGGUUUGUUAGGAAAGAAACAUUUCCUGAGGAUGCUGUGAAGGUAAGGGAACACAUUGCUGUGUCUCCACCCUGCUUUGCUCUGAGGCUUCAGGAUGUGCUUGCAGCAAUGGGCAGAGGUUGGGGGCUGUGCUGUGGAGCUGUGCUUGCUCUGCACCCUUUUUCAGGGGCAGAAUGAAUCAUCACCACUAUGGGUGCCAAAUCCUGCACCCUCCGGCUGGGAGCCUCAAAGCCUCGUGCCUAAACUUGCUGAAAUUGGUGCAGGUGGCAUCACCCUGUGCCUUUGGGCUAAGGAGCACCCAAACCAGUCCUGCUGUCUUGCUGGGGCUCAUCCUGUGGCUGCAUCCUCACCCUGGCUCGGGGUAUCCCUCCCAGGGAAACUGAGCUCCUCCACUCAAAGUGCUUCCUGAUGCAGGGCCAGCACUGCCCAGACCUUGAAGCUGAUAAAAGAUCCCCAGCAGAUGAGCCACAGCCUGGGAGGGAGAAAACCUGUUUGCAAAAGGAGAUCUCACUGGGAGAAAGGUCCAAAAAAAAAGGGGAAAUUUAAGGAAAGUCCAAACAUUUCCAGCCACAAUGGUGCCAGGUUUCUCUGUUUUGAGGAUGGGUUUUCUUUGCCCCCAUCACACUGUGAGUGAAGCUGCCUGUGCAGAGAGGAGAAAGGCAAUUUCUGUCCAGGGCUGCCCUGAGCCCUCAUGAACACCUUCAGCAGAGCAGGGCUUAGCACAGAGCCUGGUCUCACCAACCAUCUCCUGCCAGAGCCUUGGCCAGAAAACAGGCUGGGGCAAUUGAAAAGGUCCUGCAGACUGGCCAGUUGUGGGGACCAAGAGCUGUUCCCACUUCUAACACAGAAAGGGGAGACAAGUGCAUCCUCAGGUCCCUGCUCUGACACCAGCUUUGCUGGAAAACCAGCUAAAGCCAAACCUUGGUGAGUCUAAAAGAGCACCAAGCUGCACUUGCACUGUCAUGACUGCAGGAUUAGUGCAGUGCUCCACAGCCUGAGCUUAACCCUCUUGGUAUUGAAAGGUUCAUUUAACACAGAAAUGACUGCAGGGUGCAGAAAUGCACCAAGCAGGAAUAGUCACACUUUGCUUACUCAUAUUGAGCCAUCUCUCUGUUGCCCAGUGCCUCAGACCAAAGGGGCACAAAAUCAGGACCUGUUUUUCUACCUCUACUGCCCUUUCUCUCACUUGCAGAAAGAAGGUCCUGCUCCUGCCACCACUGAGUGAAGGCACUGAACGGGGGUUUCAGAGGCAUAGCAGAAACCUGGGGGCUCACAGCAAAAUGCCUGCUUGUUUUCUGGAAAAAAGGUUAAAUCCUCCUCUUGUGGGAUAAGCCUGGUUUUGUGGGGCACAGAGCAGCCUCUGGGAGCAGAAGGUCCUGAAGAUGCCAACAAGUGCCCUCUGGCCACAUCAGAGUCAUGAGUGUCCCAGCUGCCAAAAGCAGUGACUGUGGGGUGAAUUCACAGGAGGGGACCUGCCCUCACCAGCAAGGAGGGGACACAGCUGAAGCAAGUCCUUGGCAGAGCAGGACUGCAGUGGGACCAUGUCUCCCUGCAGUCUGUGCUUGGAGACACUCUGGCUCCCUCUGGGUAUUAAAUCAAAAGGAAACCAGAUUGCUUGGCCUGGGCUUUCUUGUUUUGAAUUGUUCUCCCAAUUCCUGGCUCAAGCACAGUGACCAAAAUCAUCACUGGCACGGAAAAGCUGAGUGUUGGGAGAUUCUGAAUGGGGCUGCAGACCCCCAAACCUGUUUCUAGUAGGGUUGGAGAGGAAAUCAUGGACAAUGCAGAGGUACCUCACUGCUGACCCCAGCCUCUCCCAGCACACACCUGCAGAAUAAUAUUGCACCAGUGUCAGCCAAAGGACUUCAGCUCUGUAGCUGUUGGGCUGGGGAGAUGAUAAUCUUCUGGGGCAAGGAAGCAGGCCAGGAGCUGGGAGGAACAGCAAGAAGACACAGAGAAUUCCUCCCAACAACUGAGGAAAUGCUCACAGCCCGUCAGACCAAUCUCAGCUCCAAGGGAAGGGCCUGAAGGAGUCCUCACCCAGCCCUCAUCCUGCAGAUGAUGCUUGAGCACAGCACUUGCUGCUGUGUUUCAGGUUCCUGCCAGAUGGAUUCACCGCCUGUCAGUCGGGAUUGCCACAGAAAAAUAGGAAUGAAACCCAGCUCAAACCAUUUGCUUUUCCAUCUGUGCAAGGCAGUUGUUUAAAUCAGCGCCGGCAGAGAGAUAUGGGGCUGAUGCCAGAAUAAGUUUGGAGAAGUGAAGAGCUGUGGAGAGAUGUGGAUCUUCCUUUAGCCAGAGCAGAAAUCACUGGAAAGCACCAGAGGAGCGAAGAGCUCGCAAACCACGAUGCAAAAAGUCAGCUUGAGCCUGGCAUUGCUAACAGGCUCCCAGGAUGGCUUGGGGCUGUAGGUGUGGGAGAGAAGAGCAGAGCAGGGAGCAGAGAUAUCCUCCCUGCUCCUUAUUAAUACAGCAGUGAGGCUUGAUGGGGCUCCUAAAUUAUAAUGUCUUUCUUGUCAUUAACUUGAUUUCUUUCUGGUGACAGCAGCAGCAAAUUGGUCCCAGAUGUUCUGAGCAAGGGAUGAGAAAUUAAAGGAAUUAAA